rnacentral:rRNA from 1 species
UUUGAGGAAGAAGCUUGCUUGAAGAAUUAAAUUAACUUAGUGGCGGACGGGCGAGUAACACGUGAGCAACCUGCCUCUUACAGGGGAAUAACAACGGGAAACCGUUGCUAAUACCGCAUAACAUGUUGAAAGGGCAUCCUUUUAACAUCAAAGGAGCAAUCCGGUAAGAGAUGGGCUCGCGUCCGAUUAGCUAGUUGGUAGGGUAACGGCCUACCAAGGCGACGAUCGGUAGCCGGACUGAGAGGUCGAACGGCCGCAUUGGGACUGAGACACGGCCCAGACUCCUACGGGAGGCAGCAGUGGGGAAUAUUGGGCAAUGGGCGAAAGCCUGACCCAGCAACGCCGCGUGAGUGAUGAAGGCCUUCGGGUUGUAAAACUCUUUGGACAGGGACGAAGAAAGUGACGGUACCUGUAGAACAAGCCACGGCUAACUACGUGCCAGCAGCCGCGGUAAUACGUAGGUGGCGAGCGUUAUCCGGAUUUACUGGGCGUAAAGGGCGUGUAGGCGGCUAGAUAAGUGUGAUGUUUAAAUCCAAGGCUUAACCUUGGGGUCCAUUACAAACUGUUUAGCUUGAGUGCUGGAGAGGAUAGUGGAAUUCCUAGUGUAGCGGUAAAAUGCGUAGAUAUUAGGAGGAACACCGGUGGCGAAGGCGGCUAUCUGGACAGUAACUGACGCUGAGGCGCGAAAGCGUGGGGAGCAAACAGGAUUAGAUACCCUGGUAGUUCACGCCGUANACGAUGAAUACUAGCUGUAGGAGGUAUCGACCCCUUCUGUGGCGCAGUUAACACAAUAAGUAU